UUGUGCUCAUCCUGUCGGUUCCCUUC
rnacentral:piRNA from 1 species